CCUCUCAAUCAAUGUACAGACAGGACCACCGCUGGACUCUCUCUUCCUCUUUCAUGUGAUUCUGGCAAGAAACAAUUGCUGUGCAGGCCAUCGACACUGCAGGCUGUAUCCACCGGCGAUUGACGCUUCCUCUUCUCCAUUUAUGCUCUUCUUCAUGAUCUGCAGGGCGGCAGACUCUGUUCCUCUCCUCAAGAUCUCGGUUUGCACUAAACAGAUGAAACGCCCCCAUUAUGUCAUUACCUCCACCAUUCGUCUCUUCACAUCUAGGCAUUUCUGUUGUACUUUUAUCUUCUCCCCGCAUUAUAUAAUAAUCUCAAAUCUGCGGAUGCAGCAAUGGGCAUCACCCUCCUCAUGCCGUAAAGGGGACAGAGUCGUAUCUUACUAAUCCCACCGAUGCCUCAAAAUUCUCUGCUAUAUAGUUCUUGAUGGCUUAAUUGUGUUGGACGGACCUUUAGGCUGCAGGUAUAAUUUCUUUUUCUUUUUCUGCAUGGUUGCUACAAGCCGAUCAACUCCAUCAAUAGGUCGAGGUACCGCUCUACACCUUCUCUCUGCGCAUUUGGAUCAUGUUAGCUCAUUUCUUUCUUUUUUUCUUCUUGCUUUUGUAGAUUAAUCUUACUGUGUACAUUUUUCCUUCUUUUUGUUCUAGCAUAAACAAUCCCCUUUCCUUCUUGAUGUUGGCCUUGUGGCAAGAGCGAGCAACACCACUAAGAUGGCUUUCUUGAGUCUCUCCACUCAGUCAACAACACUUACAGAUGCUAUGUUUGAGCGUUCCAUGUUUGAUCUUUUUUGGGGUGACUUUUUUUUGGUUAACUCCAUGUUUGAUCUGACUGCAGGUUUCUGUUUGUUUUUUUACUUGAUUCACUAGGCAUGCUACAAGUGGAUGAAAAUCGAGAGGGCACCAUUCAGACCUCAAUGUUUGUUUAGGUUGAAAUUGGCUUGAUGCUAUGUUCAAUUUUGAGAGGAAGGAGAAACAAAGAGGUGAAGGCUAAGUUUUGUGCCCCUCUGCUAGUCAAUGCUCAUCCUUCAAGUACUACUCUACCAGCCGCACUUGAAAGCGUUCCUCUGCAGUGAGAUUAGGAAUUUUGAAAGGCCUCAAGGAUUAUCGAUAGUUUAUUCGAGAAAAUAAGUUGGUCUAGCGAUGUGCUUCCGUGUUCCAGUUUUAUGAUCUAAUUGAAUGCUGUAGAAGCUUGGAAAAUUUGUGACAUCAAGUUGUUGUGUAAAGUCUACUAGCUAAUGUUCAGUCAACAACCAGGUGGUGGGGUUGAGGAUCUUAACCAUUUCAUUUUGCCCCCGUGUUGUACUUCUGAAGACUUCUGAAGACAGUUGUUAUCUCCGGUCAGCUUGGGAUCUCUUAUUUUGAAGUUCCACUUCUUGACUAACGCGGCAUAUUCUGAAGUGUGGUCGAUUUUUUCUGUCAGCUUAAUCUUACGAUGACCAUCAGACCAAUUAUUAGUAACGCUAAAACGCUAAUUAUGCACAGUAAUCUACAACCGAAUUCUAGCUCCACAUUUUGUACAGAUUUGCUACUUUUUUUUUUCUCUUUUACAACGUAAGAACAUUUUCAAAUUUACUACUACUAUGUUAUGCGGUUGGACAAAUUCUUUAUUGCAUUCUCGGUUGCAAUAUAACAGUAUCAACUCAUUUGCCCUGUGCAAGAACUAUUCCUCUUCAGCAUUACAUUAUUACUUUGAUUUGAUUGUAUUUUUGGGCUAACUGAGAUUUUACGUGAAGGAUGUACUUAUGUGUGGUUCAAAAGAAAGAUUUUGUGGUACACAUUUCUAGCUUUUGUUUUCUGAUACAACUAAUCAACAAGUCAAUACGAAGCCUCGUGGGAUUUACAAAAGUUUCUUACCGAGCUAGGUUUUCCCAUCUCAAGCAACUUAGAGUUUUUCAUUUAAUAUUUGUGUGUUACUAAAUACUCAUUGCUAUAUAUACUAAGCAUUUUAAUAUUGUGACCUCAUCGUCGAACUUUCAUUUCUGUUAUCCACAUUUGAUGAAUCUUUUCACGCA